rnacentral:rRNA from 1 species
CCUACGGGAGGCAGCAGUGAGGAAUAUUGGUCAAUGGCCGCAGGGCUGAACCAGCCAAGUCGCGUGAGGGAUGACGGUCCUAUGGAUUGUAAACCUCUUUUGUCAGGGAGCAAAGGGCGCCACGUGUGGCGCUUUGCGAGUACCUGACGAAAAAGCAUCGGCUAACUCCGUGCCAGCAGCCGCGGUAAUACGGAGGAUGCGAGCGUUAUCCGGAUUUAUUGGGUUUAAAGGGUGCGCAGGCGGAAUGUCAAGUCAGCGGUAAAAUUUCGGGGCUCAACCCCGUCGUGCCGUUGAAACUGGCGUUCUUGAGUGAGCGAGAAGUAUGCGGAAUGCGUGGUGUAGCGGUGAAAUGCAUAGAUAUCACGCAGAACUCCGAUUGCGAAGGCAGCAUACCGGCGCUCAACUGACGCGCAUGCACGAAAGCGUGGGUAUCGAACAGGAUUAGAUACCCGAGUAGUC